UUGUGGAGGAACACAUCAGUCUUACUACUGGCCUCCUAUGAGGGGAAUCACACUGUAUGACUUCCAGAACCCUUUGGUAGUAAUUAAUGGCGCCCUCAUGGCACAGCUCAAUUUCAACAAGACAGUCCCCGUCCGAACACUAUGUGUGUUUCUGCUACAUGUCGGGUAUUACCUUUGUAUACCAAACGGUCUUUAAUCAAACGUGUGAUCAGUGCUUAUCUGUUGAACUUCAGCUAAGGUACAACAGCGGCAGGCAGAUUGACCAUACUGCUGUAUGACUGUGGCCAGAUUGGACCCCACACCCUACUGGAACAGGUUGGUGCUGGAAGUUCUCGGGUACUCUGGGUGAUAGGUGCGACGUAUCUGCUGAUUGCAUGGAGGAGUACUUAAGCGGGAGGCAGCACUGCCAGUACUUCGAUGCCAGAGUGUUUGCCUUAGUGGUUUCAAACCUAAGGCUUUGUUUACCUUGCUGAGGCUAAACUACGCUCCAGAGGUUUCUGGGGAAUUAAGAUUAUGGUCUACUGGAAAUUGGAUGUACGUUUUUGUGGACUUCGUUCCCAACCACCUGUACUUUUCGGACACGGACCAAGCUGGCGGCUUCCCACUUUCUCCUACUUCAGGACCAAGGCAUAAGCAUACCCUGUUCCACCCUCCAACACAAGUACCUGCACCUGAACUAUCUCUGGUUCACACCCAGUCCUCUCAGACAGGACCAGAGAUAACAGCUGAGCAACUUCUACCUCGCAAGCCAAGACCCUGAAUCCCUCUACCCCUGGUGGUUCAAGCAGCAACAAUUUAUUGGCAUUUCCCGUCCUCGUUCCAGAUUACUUUGCUGACAAUAAAAACACCUUACAUUUUGUUCCUACUUCUGGGUGUUUUUCUGUAUGUGGGUCAAAG